GAUGAACGCUGGCGGCGUGCUUAACACAUGCAAGUCGAACGGAGCGCCCUUGAAGGAGUUUUCGGACAACGGAGAGGGUUGCUUAGUGGCGGACGGGUGAGUAACGCGUGAGCAAUCUGCCUUGGAGUGGGGAAUAACAGCUGGAAACAGCUGCUAAUACCGCAUGAUGCAGUUGAGGGACAUCCCUCUGACUGCCAAAGAUUUAUCGCUCUGAGAUGAGCUCGCGUCUGAUUAGCUGGUUGGCGGGGUAACGGCCCACCAAGGCGACGAUCAGUAGCCGGACUGAGAGGUUGGCCGGCCACAUUGGGACUGAGACACGGCCCAG
rnacentral:rRNA from 1 species